GUAAAAAUGUAGUGCUCACCUUAGCAGCAGUUGGAACGAUACAGAGAUCAGCAUGGCCCCUGCACAAGGAUGAUGCACAAAUUCGUGAAGCAUUCCAUAUUUUU